GGAUAACACUUGGAAACAGGUGCUAAUACCGUAUAACACUAUUUUCCGCAUGGAAGAAAGUUGAAAGGCGCUUUUGCGUCACUGAUGGAUGGACCCGCGGUGCAUUAGCUAGUUGGUGAGGUAACGGCUCACCAAGGCCACGAUGCAUAGCCGACCUGAGAGGGUGAUCGGCCACACUGGGACUGAGACACGGCCCAGACUCCUACGGGAGGCAGCAGUAGGGAAUCUUCGGCAAUGGACGAAAGUCUGACCGAGCAACGCCGCGUGAGUGAAGAAGGUUUUCGGAUCGUAAAACUCUGUUGUUAGAGAAGAACAAGGAUGAGAGUAGAACGUUCAUCCCUUGACGGUAUCUAACCAGAAAGCCACGGCUAACUACGUGCCAGCAGCCGCGGUAAUACGUAGGUGGCAAGCGUUGUCCGGAUUUAUUGGGCGUAAAGCGAGCGCAGGCGGUUUCUUAAGUCUGAUGUGAAAGCCCCCGGCUCAACCGGGGAGGGUCAUUGGAAACUGGGAGACUUGAGUGCAGAAGAGGAGAGUGGAAUUCCAUGUGUAGCGGUGAAAUGCGUAGAUAUAUGGAGGAACACCAGUGGCGAAGGCGGCUCUCUGGUCUGUAACUGACGCUGAGGCUCGAAAGCGUGGGGAGCGAACAGGAUUAGAUACCCUGGUAGUCCACGCCGUAAACGAUGAGUAUAGAGUGUUGGAGGGUUUCCGCCCUUCAGUGCUGCA
rnacentral:rRNA from 1 species